GGGUUCAUAUUUGUUGCAUUUGGCAUUAUAUUAUUUGUGGGAUUCUUCUACACCACCGUUGUGUCCAAAAUGCUUCCGCCUUACAAUAACCGGCUUCCGCCUGCCAUCCAAAAUGACAGGCAUUACUGCCUACUUGUGCCCAUGACACUUCCUGUGAUAAUCGUGUCUGUCUAUCUGCAUUGGCUAAGCAUGAAGAUGGUCAAGGAUGCCUGA
rnacentral:rRNA from 1 species